GAUGAAGAACGUAGCGAAAUGCGAUAAGUAAUGUGAAUUGCAGAAUUCAGUGAAUCAUCGAAUCUUUGAACGCACAUUGCGCCCGCCAGUAUUCUGGCGGGCAUGCCUGUUCGAGCGUCAUUUCAACCCUCAAGACCCCUUCGGGGGACUUGGUGUUGGGGACCGGCACAGGGGCCUGCCUGCUUGUCUUGCAGCGCCCUCGCCGCCCCCGAAAUGAAUUGGCGGCCUCGUCGCGGCCUCCCCUGCGUAGUAGCACAAACCUCGCAACGGGAACGUGACGGCGGCCACUGCCGUAAAACAACCCAAUUUUAUUAGAGUUGACCUCGAAUCAGGUAGGAAUACCCGCUGAACUUAAGCAUAUAAUAAGCGGAGGA
rnacentral:misc_RNA from 1 species